rnacentral:rRNA from 1 species
AGACCUUAACCUGCUAAAUAGCCCCUAUUGCUUUGGCAGUAGGCUGGCUUCUUAGAGGGACUAUCCGCUCAAGCGGAUGGAAGUUUGAGGCAAUAACAGGUUAACCUACACAGGCCUGUAAUAGUGGGCCUCAUAAAAUAUUUCUGCUAGUCUAGCAUCUUCAUCUCUUUUGGGGGAGUCCCCUGUUAUCGGGAAGAGACGCGGUUCCUUCUGGAAUCGUGUGAUGUAGGCAACACUACCUGGAACAGGG